GAUGAACGCUGGCGGCGUGCCUAAUACAUGCAAGUCGAGCGAACGGACGAGAAGCUUGCUUCUCUGAUGUUAGCGGCGGACGGGUGAGUAACACGUGGAUAACCUACCUAUAAGACUGGGAUAACUUCGGGAAACCGGAGCUAAUACCGGACAAUAUUUUGAACCGCAUGGUUCAAAAGUGAAAGACGGUCUUGCUGUCACUUAUAGAUGGAUCCGCGCUGCAUUAGCUAGUUGGUAAGGUAACGGCUUACCAAGGCAACGAUGCAUAGCCGACCUGAGAGGGUGAUCGGCCACACUGGAACUGAGGCGCGGUCCAGACUCCUACGGGAGGCAGCAGUAGGGAAUCUUCCGCAAUGGGGGAAAGCCUGACGGAGCAACGCCGCGUGAGUGAUGAAGAUCUUCGGAUCGUAAAACUCUGUUAUUAGGGAAGAACAUAUGUGUAAGUAACUGUGCACAUCUUGACGGUACCUAAUCAGAAAGCCACGGCUAACUACGUG
rnacentral:rRNA from 1 species